UACUUUACAUGAUGAUAUAAUUUGCGAUCUAGGGCGGAAUACCUGGGACAUGCCUAGUUCCAUUAUGGGUAUUCUUGCGACAUGCGAACAAUUUAUUAUUCUGAAACACCU
rnacentral:snoRNA from 1 species